UACGUAGGGGGCAAGCGUUGUCCGGAUUUAUUGGGCGUAAAGAGCGUGUAGGCGGCCAGGGAGGUCCGUUGUGAAAACUCGAGGCUCAACCUCGAGACGCCGAUGGAAACCCCCCUGGCUAGAGUCCGGAAGAGGAGAAUGGAAUUCCGCGUGUAGCAGUGAAAUGCGUAGAGAUGCGGAGGAACACCGAUGGCGAAGGCAGCCCCCUGGGCUAACACUGACGCUCAGGCACGAAAGCGUGGGGAGCAAACGAGG
rnacentral:rRNA from 1 species